AAAUAGGACAAUGUAAAUAAGCAGUG
rnacentral:piRNA from 1 species